UUUACUGCUGCUCCGUGCUGCUGUGUGUAGAAGAAAGGAUUGAUUUUGCUGCUGUGCGAUUUGUGCUGCGUGCUUGAUUUUGCCUGUGAGAGGAGGAAAUUGAUUUUGCUUGCUACUUGCCCGUGAGAGUAGGAGCAGGAGAAAGAGAGCAGAUUAUUUCCAAUACAAUUGCAAUUGCCAUCAACCGGCUUAUGCAUGAGCCAAAAAUUGUGGCUUCUCAUGUCCCCUCCUCCGCAGCUUUUUGGCAAAA
rnacentral:lncRNA from 1 species